rnacentral:tRNA from 1 species
UAAGUGAAAGCCAAAGAGCGGCGCCUAGCUGUUAAUUAGGAGAAUGUAAUAAAAUUUACUCAUUUAG